UGCCUAUGAUGACAUCAAAUGCACGUAAUAUCAGAUAUUACUGUGAUGAUUUAUAUCUAAUUGUCACUACCGCUGAGGCA